rnacentral:rRNA from 1 species
AACGAACGCUGGCGGUAUGCUUUACACAUGCAAGUCGAACGAAUUGUUGGUAGCUUGCUAUCAACAGUUAGUGGCAAACGGGUGAGUAACGCGUGGGAAUCUGCCCUAUAGUACGGAAUAGCCGUUGGAAACGACGAUUAAUACCGUAUAUCUUCCGAGGAAGAAAGACUUGUCGCUAUAGGAUGAGCCCACGUUAGAUUAGUUUGUUGGUAGGGUAAUGGCCUACCAAGACUACGAUCUAUAGCUGGUUUGAGAGGAUGAUCAGCCACACUGGAACUGAGAUACGGUCCAGACUCCUACGGGGAGGCAGCAGUAGGGGAAUUUUCGACAAUGGACGAAAGUCUGAUCGAGCAACGCCGCGUGAGGGAAGAAGGUCUUCGGAUUGUAAACCUCUGUUAUAAGGGAAGAACAGUCAGAGCAGGAAAUGGCUUUGAUUUGACGGUACCUUAUCAGAAAGUGACGGCUAACUUCGUGCCAGCAGCCGCGGUAAU